GUACACAACUUUAUGUCUUCUGACUGAUGAUUUCUUACUCUUCGGAAAUUUGACAUGCUAUUAUUUACACAUGCUGUUGGAAGAUUGACAGUAGGUGCAUUUGUUAACCUUCUUAAGCUGAGCGACUUGUUAAAAAUAGAUUUUCUCUUUUAAUCAUUCACGUGACUCUAGUCACUCCUGUUGUUCAAAUAGAGCCACCGAUGCAUUCGAUUAGAAGAGAAAGAAAUAGUACACAACUUUAUGUCUUCUGACUGAUGAUUUCUUACUCUUCGGAAAUUUGACAUGCUAUUAUUUUUGUGAGUAUAAUCGGAUCCAUUGAAAUGCACUUUGAUUUUAAUGUUUUAACAAGGGCAUGCCACAAGAAAGCUCCAGUCCUUGUUUGUGAAAUUUUACUUUUUUCAAGGAGUACUUUUGCUCUGUAGAAUUUUAUCGGCCCAUGCCAUCAUGCUUUUAUGUUUACUGCAAUAAAGAAAGUCGUGUAAUCUUGUAAUUAGAGGAGAAAUAAAUUCUAAACUGCUGGUUAUGUAAAUAAUCAGGGCUAGCAUUUGGCAAGCAAGUUCUCACACUUAUGCGGAUUGUAAAAUAGUCUGAUUUCUCAUCCCAUGGUGAUUUGACGUGCUGUUUAUUUUGUGAGUGUACUCUGAUCUGUUGAAAUGCACUUCACUUUUCAUAUUUUAACAAGUACCAGUCACAAGAAAGCUCCAGGCUACCGUAGUAUCUGAAAAUAACUUAUCCAAGAACUAAUUUUUCUAUGUAGGAAUUUAUCUGCCCAUGACAUCACGUUCUUAAGCUGCAUUAAGGAAAGUUUUGUAAUACUGUAACCCUGUAGUUGCAGGCAGGAGAAGAUGGUGUCGGUGUCCUUCACAGCCGCCAAGUUCCUGGCGAUGGCAGGUGUGUCAUCCGUUAGCACUCUCUGCCUCGGGCCGGCUCAGCUUCUAGGCUCCAUCCUCGCGGUCUCCGCCGGAAACAAGGCCGCGUCCUCCGCCUCCCCACAGCCGGUUGUUUAUGAUAUAAGGCUGUGAAGAUUUGGCUAAUUGGGAUAAAAUUGCAACAGGAUGCUCUGCCAAAGCAUGCUAAUCAUGCCCUCCUUGGAUAUGACUUCAAGAAGGUCGAACUGUCGAAGCACUUGACAGGUUGACUAAAAUCAAGAUCUGGAAGCACCAUUUUUCUUGUGGCGCGACAGGUUCGCGGCUGAACAACCUUGGGAACAGGCGGAACUGCCAGCGAGCUGAGACAGAGCUGAGACGAGAAGGCGACGUUGCCAAGGAGAUGAGAAAGUGCUGCUGGCGAGAAGACGAUGUUGCCGGCGAGCUGUGCCGGAGCGGCCAGCGAGAAGCCUGGAAGUGCCCCGAGCGUGGAGGUGCUAGCAAUGGUCGUGGGCGUUGCCGGCGGUAUGGUGCUCUGCUCGGUGGGUGUUGAGCAUGCGUGGCGGCCGGCAUGGCGCUUCUGCUAGGGGCCUACGGCCGUCCUCCGUGAGGUUUGCCGAUGGAUUCCGGCGGCGGCGCGCAGAUGGAUUGGAUUCAGCUGGCUUGACGCUCGCUUGGAUCGAUUCGGUUCUGCUGGUUUGAGGCGCGCCCGUCGGAUGGAUUCAGUUCAGCUGGCUUGAGGCUCGCGCGCGGAUGGAUUCUGCAGGUGGCGGAGGUGAUGGCUGGGGCGUUGGGGGCGGAGGACGAGGACGCUGGGAUCUGGAUCGAGAUCCAUGAAGACGAAGCUCGGAUAGGGAACGAUGUUAGGCAGGGGUAGGGAUGUCUUUUCGCAGCUUUUUCACCUGGUCGGAAAAAUCCCAGAACGUCUUAUAUUUCUGAACGGAGGGAGUACUCAAUAUACUUGGUGGCUUACUAUGUUGAAGUUGUCAACAAGCACAAUGAUGGCAAACAAUAUGUGUGGGAGUCCAAAGCUGAUGGACCAUUUGCUAUCUCCGAGGAUACAUGGAAUGAACCCCUUGGCUGUGGAUCUGAUAUGUGUGGGAUUACCUGGAGAAAGGCAAGCUAAAGGCAGGGGUGGUUCUUGCAGAUUUUUCUUCACGCCGCUCUGGUCGGUCCAUCGUAUCCCUCGCUAUCUGCGGCAUUUUUGUUCCAGAUCUUGCAUAGGC